UGAGGUGAGCACGUACCUCCCU
rnacentral:miRNA from 14 species